rnacentral:rRNA from 1 species
GGUAGUCCACGCCGUAAACGAUGCGAACUGGAUGUUGGGUGCACUUCUGGCACGCAGUAUCGAAGCUAACGCGUUAAGUUCGCCGCCUGGGGAGUACGGUCGCAAGACUGAAACUCAAAGGAAUUGACGGGGGCCCGCACAAGCGGUGGAGCAUGUGGUUUAAUUCGAUGCAACGCGAAGAACCUUACCUGGCCUUGACAUCCAGAGAACUUAGCAGAGAUGCUUUGGUGCCUUCGGGAACUCUGAGACAGGUGCUGCAUGGCUGUCGUCAGCUCGUGUUGUGAAAUGUUGGGUUAAGUCCCGCAACGAGCGCAACCCUUAUCCUUUGUUGCCAGCGAUUCGGUCGGGAACUCAAAGGAGACUGCCGGUGAUAAACCGGAGGAAGGUGGGGAUGACGUCAAGUCAUCAUGGCCCUUACGAGUAGGGCUACACACGUGCUACAAUGGCGCAUACAAAGAGAAGCGACCUCGCGAGAGCAAGCGGACCUCACAAAGUGCGUCGUAGUCCGGAUCGGAGUCUGCAACUCGACUCCGUGAAGUCGGAAUCGCUAGUAAUCGCAGAUCAGCAUUGCUGCGGUGAAUACGUUCCCGGGCCUUGUACACACCGCCCGUCACACCAUGGGAGUUUGUUGCACCAGAAGCAGGUAGCUUAACCUUCGGGAGGGCGCUUGCCACGGUGUGGCCGAUGACUGGGGUGAAGUCGUAACAAGGUAACC